GAGACAAUAUGAUAUUUUUUGUCUUAUAAUAGGACAGAAACUAUCCCUUUAUUAAUUAUUCCCAGCAUUCUUUUGGCUUUUUUGACUGCCACUCCACAUUGAGUGGAUGUUUUCAGAGAACUAUCUAAAAUGACUCGAAGAUCUCUUUC